GAGUUUGAUCAUGGCUCAGAUUGAACGCUGGCGGCAUGCCUUACACAUGCAAGUCGAACGGUAACAGGUCCUCGGAUGCUGACGAGUGGCGAACGGGUGAGUAAUACAUCGGAACGUGCCCAGACGUGGGGGGAUAACGAGGCGAAAGCUUUGCUAAUACCGCAUACGAUCUAAGGAUGAAAGCAGGGGACCGCAAGGCCUUGCGCGUUUGGAGCGGCCGAUGGCAGAUUAGGUAGUUGGUGGGAUAAAAGCUUACCAAGCCGACGAUCUGUAGCUGGUCUGAGAGGACGACCAGCCACACUGGGACUGAGACACGGCCCAGACUCCUACGGGAGGCAGCAGUGGGAAUUUGGACAAUGGGCGAAAGCCUGAUCCAGCAAUGCCGCGUGCAGGAUGAAGGCC
rnacentral:rRNA from 1 species